rnacentral:rRNA from 1 species
GACGAACGCUGGCGGCGUGCUUAACACAUGCAAGUCGAACGGAAAGGCCUCAGCUUGCUGGGGUCCUCGAGUGGCGAACGGGUGAGUAACACGUGGGUGAUCUGCCUUGCACUCUGGGAUAAGCUUGGGAAACUGGGUCUAAUACCGGAUAUGAACUGCCUUUAGUGUGGUGGUUGGAAAGUUUUUUCGGUGCAAGAUGAGCUCGCGGCCUAUCAGCUUGUUGGUGGGGUAAUGGCCUACCAAGGCGUCGACGGGUAGCCGGCCUGAGAGGGUGUACGGCCACAUUGGGACUGAGAUACGGCCCAGACUCCUACGGGAGGCAGCAGUGGGGAAUAUUGCACAAUGGGCGGAAGCCGGAUGCAGCGACGCCGCGUGGGGGAUGACGGCCUUCGGGUUGUAAACUCCUUUCGACAGGGACGAAGCUUUUUGUGACGGUACCUGUAUAAGAAGCACCGGCUAACUACGUG